CACGUAGGGGGCGAGCGUUGUCCGGAUUUAUUGGGCGUAAAGAGCUCGUAGGCGGCUCAGUAAGUCAGGUGUGAAAACUCCAGGCUCAACCUGGAGACGCCACCUGAUACUGCUGUGGCUAGAGUCCGGUAGGGGAGCAUGGAAUUCCUGGUGUAGCGGUGAAAUGCGCAGAUAUCAGGAGGAACACCAGUGGCGAAGGCGGUGCUCUGGGCCGGAACUGACGCUGAGGAGCGAAAGUGUGGGGAGCGAACAGG
rnacentral:rRNA from 1 species